rnacentral:rRNA from 1 species
UCGGGAAUUUUGGGCAAUGGGCGAAAGCCUGAUCCAGCCAUGCCGCGUGUGUGAAGAAGGUCUUCGGAUUGUAAAGCACUUUAAGUUGGGAGGAAGGGCAGUAACCUAAUACGUUUCUGUCUUGACGUUACCGACAGAAUAAGCACCGGCUAACUCUGUGCCAGCAGCCGCGGUAACACAGAGGGUGCAAGCGUUAAUCGGAAUUACUGGGCGUAAAGCGCGCGUAGGUGGUUAGUUAAGUUGGAUGUGAAAUCCCCGGGCUCAACCUGGGAACUGCAUUCAAAACUGACUGACUAGAGUAUGGUAGAGGGUGUGGAAUUUCCUGUGUAGCGGUGAAAUGCGUAGAUAUAGGAAGGAACACCAGUGGCGAAGGCGACCACCUGGACUGAUACUGACACUGAGGUGCGAAAGCGUGGGGAGCAAACAGGAUUAGAUACCCCAGUAGUCCCUGAGCGGGCUGGCAAGGCGCAU